UUUCUAGGAGACGGUGUAUAUAAACUCCGUUGCUAUAGAAACAAGGGACACGCUCCUUUUAGUAGGCUAUAAAGGCAGUUUAAUUGCAUUUAAAUUUGAAGAAACAAACAAUCCGCAAUUUAUCCUGAACAAAAUCUUUGUCUUCUUGUUGAAGUUUGGACAGAAGCUAUGCCUCUUCCGGACAGGAUGUACUGCGCCGAGCAGAUCAACAUCCCGCCCGAGCUGCCCGACAUCCUCAAACAGUUCACUAAAGCUGCUAUUAGGACACAGCCGCCAGAUGUGCUGCAGUGGUCCGCUGCCUAUUUCACCGCGCUGUCAGAAGGUGAACCUCUUCCAGUCAAAGACAGGCUGGAAAUAUCUGGAAAAACACAGAAGACAGACAACGCACUCACUCCAGGUCUCCUCAAAGUCCUUCAUAAACAGCUUUCAUCCAAGAAGAAUGUUGGUAAAGAAGAGCUGGAGCAGAAGUGGAAAGGCCUGUGUCUGCCAGCCGAACAGCUCGACACACUGCUCACGCUCGGGAACUUCAGCACCGAGGUCGACUGGAUGCACUUCUUCGCUCUCGGGUGCAGUGCUUUGGGUGGAACGAUCAUCAGUGCUCUGAAGUUUGCGUGUGAAAUCCUGAGCGAGGACCCGGAGGGCGGAGCAGCUCGGAUCCCCUUCGACACGUUCGUCGGCCUGUACACGUAUCUGGCCCAGCUGGACGGAGACAUUCCUCAGCACGAGAUAGACAGCUUCCUGUCCAGCCUGCAGGAGCCUGUGGCAAAACAAAACGGCAUGAUCCAAGCGUCCAAUUUCUACAGCUGCAAAAAACGGACCAAAACUCCAUAAGACACAGGAUCGACAUAAACACAUGCAGUUAACUGAAAUAAAAAAAAAAGAAAUUUUUGUCAGAAUGAUGGAUUUCUUUGAUGUUAUUUUGUAAUUUCUUUCACUCAAAGCUCUCCUUUUUAACCCCUAACAUGGCUUGAUUUUAGAGAUAAUAAAACAGGGAAGUGUUUAAUAUGUUAACUUAGACCACAGCGCUGUAGUGUUCUUGAAUCUGAUUGGUCGGAAGGUGUUGAUUAAGUAAAGAAUAAAACACAACCUGGUCAUUGAUUAUUCUCCAAUAACAGCACAUUGAAUCUUGAAGUGUUUUAUUUCUCUUCUACAACAACAAUUUGUCAACCAUUGCAAUUUUUAUUUUAUUAAAGAGUGACGCAUCAUACUUUUUAUCAGUUUCUAGUUACAUUUAAUGUUGUGGAACGUCUGUGAAACAUGUUCCUGUUCUCACUUACGCUAUAGCAGCUGUAAACAGUUGUUCCCGCACAAGCCUCUCUUUUUUCUCUCUUGAUGUUAAUAAAACAAAAAAACACUGAAAGAAGAAACCGCAAAAAGGGUCAACUCCUCUGUCCUGAAGACGUCGGAAAACUUAAAGUUACAGCUUUACCCCUGACUGUUACAAAGCACUGACACUGGAGACUCCUUCCAUACAUGUUACGUAAACGUCUCCUUACAGAAAACUUCCCAGCAUGUUUUUUUAAGCUCCCUGUGAAUGAGCCGUUACUAUAGAAACUGUAACGUAUCAGAACGAGCGCAUUAAUAUAAACCUGUGAUUUGCAGCUGCACUACUGUCAGAGCUGCAGUUAUAGAAAAUUCAUCAACGCCUUCCCUUCUGACCAAUCAGCAUUCAGCAGCACUGCGUGAUCUGAAGUGAACUAAAACACACACUAACCCCUUUGAUUGUUGAGUGUGUGUAGUUACUCAGGUGUGCUACUUGGUAAGACUCAGAGCUCUAAGUUUCUGGCAGACGAAAGGAAGUGAAAACAGGGGAAUUCAUGUUUUAUGGGGAAGAGAUGAGCGCAGUGAGCAUUAUAAACUCUCCCAAACCGGCCACAUCACACACACACACACACACACACACACACACACACACACACACACACAGACCCCAGGGGAACCCCAUUAGAGCCUUGUUUUGCUCAGUGAUAUCUGGAGCUGUGUUCUCUGGGCUGGUGAAGUGUUUUUGGAGAUGUUUUGCGAGAAACAGGAUGUCCAGGAGAGACAGUGGAUCAGCUGCUUGGACAGGAAGAGAGGGUUAAGUGAGGAAAGUGAUCCAGAGACAGGCUAAAGAUGGAGAGAGAGAGAGCGCUGAUGGAAAGGAUGGCAGUGAUGUAGGAAUGAAAAUAACACCGAUAAACACAACAAGGACACGGAGAGGUGGGAUGGUCCAGCCGGCUGAUUUCGUUGACCUGGAUGUGUAGAGGUGCGAGUGAAAAACAGAAGACAGAUGGCUUUCAGAUUCACUCUUCACGCUGCGCUUUAAACGGCUUAUAUAACCACGCUAAUGAUGCAGCAGGAUUCAAACAUUAACCCUAUAAGGGCUGGGCAUAUUUUAGAUUUUUUUUUGGUGAUAUAUUACCCUUAUUGGUGUCUUCAGCUUUUCAAUUACCAGUUACAGAUACUCACCAUAAAAGAUGAAAAUAAUGUGCAAGACAAAUGGAAUUUUCUGUCCAACUAAUCCUGUGAAAUCAACGAAAACACAAAGAAUGAGAUGAUUCGAACAAAUAACAAACAAAAAUAAAACACAUUAUGGACUACA